AUGAACGCUGGCGGCGUGCCUAAUACAUGCAAGUCGAGCGAACGGACGAGAAGCUUGCUUUUCUGAUGUUAGCGGCGGACGGGUGAGUAACACGUGGAUAACCUACCUAUAAGACUGGGAUAACUUCGGGAAACCGGAGCUAAUACCGGAUAAUAUUUUGAACCGCAUGGUUCAAAAGUGAAAGACGGUCUUGCUGUCACUUAUAGAUGGAUCCGCGCUGCAUUAGCUAGUUGGUAAGGUAACGGCUUACCAAGGCAACGAUGCAUAGCCGACCUGAGAGGGUGAUCGGCCACACUGGAACUGAGACACGGUCCAGACUCCUACGGGAGGCAGCAGUAGGGAAUCUUCCGCAAUGGGCGAAAGCCUGACGGAGCAACGCCGCGUGAGUGAUGAAGGUCUUCGGAUCGUAAAACUCUGUUAUUAGGGAAGAACAUAUGUGUAAGUAACUGUGUACAUCUUGACGGUACCUAAUCAGAGAGCCACGGCUAACUACGUG
rnacentral:rRNA from 1 species